GUGCCAGCAGCCGCGGUAAUACGGAGGGUGCGAGCGUUAUCCGGAAUUACUGGGUUUAAAGGGUGCGUAGGCGGCUAUGUAAGUCAGGAGUGAAAGUUUGCGGCUCAACCGUAAAAUUGCUUUUGAUACUGCAUGGCUGGAAUUAGGAUGAGGUCAGCGGAAUGUGGCAUGUAGCGGUGAAAUGCAUAGAUAUGCCAUAGAACACCAAUUGCGAAGGCAGCUGGCUAGACCUGGAUUGACGCUGAGGCACGAAAGCGUGGGGAGCGAACAGGAUUAGAUACCCUGGUAGUCCACGCCCUAAACGAUGCUUACUCGACGUAUGAAGCUUGUCUUUGUGCGUCCAAGGGAAACCGUUAAGUAAGCCACCUGGGGAGUACGACCGCAAGGUUGAA
rnacentral:rRNA from 1 species